rnacentral:lncRNA from 1 species
ACCCGCGCCCUGCGUCGGAGCCCUUGGACUUGCCUCGCGCGGCGAGGUUGUGCUGGUCUGCAAGGCCGAGCCCCUUCCCUAGGGUGAGGCCAAGUUUGUAAAAUUACUAGGUGAAAAAGAGCUUCAACUCGCGCAGGAAAGGAGAGGUUCCGAGUGUUCCGACUUAUGGGGUUGCCAGGGUUCGAGUCCAACUCCUCCGCUCAGAGACCUUGGACGAGACCUGUGUUUGUUUUCUCACUAGGAAGAUGAGGGAAGGGGGGCGGGGAAUAAGGGAAGGGGAGCGGGGAAUAAGGGAAGGGAGCGGGGAAUAAGGGAAGGGGGCGGGGUGGGGGGAGAUGACAGUUGGACUGUUGUGGAAAGUAGUAAGACAAGGCGUGUGCGGGACCGAGCGCUGGGCCUGGCACCUAGUGACGAAGUAAACACACAGGCAGGUAAUGCUAACUCCGGCUGUUUGAGUCUUCUGCCAGCGAGGGCAGGGCAGGUGGGGCAAGCGGUGGUGAAGCGGGUUCCGGGGGCUCGGUGAGUCUGAACACUGGCUCGCCUGGAAGGUUGGAGCCACCCUGCCAAUCAAGCAGCCGUGCUAUUUCGCGCCCUCGACUAGAGGGGCCAGAAUUAAUUUUAAAAGCUUUUCUUUGUUGAUGGGAUUAAACACAGAGUGCUAAACUUCCGUAACACCAUCCUUUAUGAAAGGAAAAAAAAAAGCAUUUGUAAACCUAUUUACUAAUUAAGAGCCCAAACGAGGGGGGAAAUGCACGGAGCACCGAGGCCUUUUUUGUUGUUGUUAAUUCUUGGUUAUCUAUAUGCUCUUAUUGCCUCCCUAUUAUAGGCUCCUACACUCACAAAGCCUCAAGCUGGGUUCUCUGCUUGUAAAGUCUGCCCAGAGAAUGCAAAUUAUUGGCCAGAGCAAAAGAAAAUCAAGAAGAAAAAGUCUGCUAAAAAGCGCCACUUACUGAACAUUUCCCUUUGUGUCCUCAUCUAAUCUGUACAAUGACCCAGUGAAGAAUUUAGGUUGCACCAUUUGAAAAUACUUUUUGGAAGUAGAAUAUGGUUGAAAGUUGGCAAGUUCAUAGAAUUCAACUUAUUUUCAUUCCCAUUUUACAGAUGGGAAAAGUCUCAGAGACAGCAGAUGAUGUCCCUGUGGUCUCAGGUCGUCCAGUAGGUGGGUGAACUGGGACUUGAAAUCAGGUCUGAUGUCCAGAUCUGCUCCUGACUGCUAUGGUACAGUGUCAUAAGUGAGUUUUGGCUUCUGGUCUACCUGAAGGCUGCCGUCUUUAGUGAAGUGUGGGCUUAACAGAGUGCAAAUACCACUCUACUUUGUGUUUUCAGAAAACAAAGGAUGGCCAAGCUCAUGGACUCUAGUGAUACAAGUUGGAUGGAUAUUGAUGAAAUGGUCAAAAGAGCCCCACAGUGGAUGUGUUAUCUUGGGCAAAUGGCUAAACCUCUCUCGGUUUCCUCAAGUGUUGGUGUCUCCUUCAUAGGGUGUUUGUAAAUAAAUGAAAUAAUGAGUAUGAAAGCUAUUACCCAAUGCCUGGCACACAGUGAAUGUUUGAUAACUGGAAAGAACACUAAUUUUUAGAUUGAAUGGAUCCCAUUUAGAAAAACAAAAUAUUUUAGAGUUGCAUUUUUUAAUGAAAAGAAAAAAGUGGGGGCCGGGCACG